rfam:Felis catus isolate Cinnamon breed Abyssinian chromosome D4, whole genome shotgun sequence.
GCCUGGGUGGCUCAGUCUGUUGAGCGUCUGACUUCAGCUCAGGUCAUGACCUCACGGUCUGUGAGUUCGAGCCCCAUGUCAGGUU